GUUUACAUGAUGAUUUAAAUAAUGUACUUGACUCAUAAUGAAAGCAAUACAUAAACGAGCUUUUUAACACUGAAAAAA